rnacentral:rRNA from 1 species
UGGGGAAUAUUGCACAACGGGCGAAAGCCUGAUGCAGCCAUGCCGCGUGUGUGAAGAAGGCCUUAGGGUUGUAAAGCACUUUCAGCGAGGAGGAAAGGAUUAAAGUUAAUACCUUUGAUCUGUGACGUUACUCGCAGAAGAAGCACCGGCUAACUCCGUGCCAGCAGCCGCGGUAAUACGGAGGGUGCGAGCGUUAAUCGGAAUUACUGGGCGUAAAGCGUGCGUAGGCGGCUACUUAAGUUGGAUGUGAAAGCCCUGGGCUCAACCUGGGAACUGCAUCCAAAACUGAGUGGCUAGAGUGCGAGAGAGGAGUGUGGAAUUUCCUGUGUAGCGGUGAAAUGCGUAGAUAUAGGAAGGAACACCAGUGGCGAAGGCGACACUCUGGCUUGACACUGACGCUGAGGUACGAAAGCGUGGGGAGCAAACAGGAUUAGAUACCCUGGUAGUCCACGCCGUAAACGAUGUCUACUAGUUGUCCGUUGUCUUGUACGAUGGGUAACGCAGCUAACGCGAUAAGUAGACCGCCUGGGGAGUACGGCCGCAAGGUUA